UACGUAGGGUGCAAGCGUCGUCCGGAAUUAUUGGGCGUAAAGAGCUUGUAGGCGGUUUGUCGCGUCUGCUGUGAAAUUUCGGGGCUCAACCCCGAACUUGCAGUGGGUACGGGCAGACUAGAGUGUGGUAGGGGAGACUGGAAUUCCUGGUGUAGCGGUGAAAUGCGCAGAUAUCAGGAGGAACGCCGAUGGCGAAGGCAGGUCUCUGGGCCACUACUGACGCUGAGAAGCGAAAGCAUGGGGAGCGAACAGG
rnacentral:rRNA from 1 species